AUUGAACGCUGGCGGCAUGCUUUACACAUGCAAGUCGAACGGUAACAGGCCUUCGGGUGCUGACGAGUGGCGAACGGGUGAGUAAUGCAUCGGAACGUACCCAGAGGUGGGGGAUAACGCAGCGAAAGCUGUGCUAAUACCGCAUGUGAUCUGAGGAUGAAAGCGGGGGACCGAGCAGCAAUGUUUGGCCUCGCGCCUUUGGAGCGGCCGAUGUCGGAUUAGCUAGUUGGUGGGGUAAAGGCCUACCAAGGCGACGAUCCGUAGCUGGUCUGAGAGGACGACCAGCCACACUGGGACUGAGACACGGCCCAGACUCCUACGGGAGGCAGCGGUGGGGAAUUUUGGACAAUGGGCGCAAGCCUGAUCCAGCAAUGCCGCGUGCGGGAAGAAGGCCUUCGGGUUGUAAACCGCUUUUGGCAGGAACGAAACGGUGUCCGCUAAUACCGGGCGCUAAUGACGGUACCUGCAGAAUAAGCACCGGCUAACUACGUG
rnacentral:rRNA from 1 species